AUCUAUGGCCAUAUCACCCUGAGAAUACCUGAUCUUGUCUGAUCUCGGAAGACAAGCAGGGUCGGGCCCAGUUAGUACUUGGAUGGGCUAUCGCCUGGGAAUACCGGGUGCUGUAGGCU
rnacentral:rRNA from 1 species